rnacentral:rRNA from 1 species
GACGGAGGGGGCAAGCGUUGUUCGGAAUUAUUGGGCGUAAAGGGUGCGUAGGCGGUCGCGCAAGUCGGAUGUGAAAUCUCAGGGCUCAACCCUGAAACUGCAUUCGAUACUGCGUGGCUAGAGUGCUGGAGAGGAGACUGGAAUUUACGGUGUAGCAGUGAAAUGCGUAGAUAUCGUAAGGAAGACCAGUGGCGAAGGCGAGUCUCUGGACAGCAACUGACGCUGAGGCACGAAGGCCAGGGGAGCAAACGGG